UCAGGAUGAACGCUAGCUACAGGCUUAACACAUGCAAGUCGAGGGGUAGCAGGGUAGCAAUACCGCUGACGACCGGCGCACGGGUGAGUAACACGUAUCCAACCUUCCCAUAACUCAGGGAUAGCCUUUCGAAAGAAAGAUUAAUACCUGAUAGUACUUUUUCAAGGCAUCUUGAAAAAAGUUAAAGAUUUAUUGGUUAUGGAUGGGGAUGCGUUCCAUUAGAUAGUUGGUGAGGUAACGGCUCACCAAGUCUUCGAUGGAUAGGGGUUCUGAGAGGAAGGUCCCCCACAUUGGUACUGAGACACGGACCAAACUCCUACGGGAGGCAGCAGUGAGGAAUAUUGGUCAAUGGGCGAGAGCCUGAACCAGCCAAGUAGCGUGAAAAGGAUGAAGGUCCUAUGGAUUGUAAACUUCUUUUAUAGUAGAAUAAAGUGAGCCACGUGUGGUUUUUUGUAUGUAUACUAUGAAUAAGGAUCGGCUAACUCCGUGCCAGCCGCGGC
rnacentral:rRNA from 1 species